UUGAAUACACUUGGUUGGGUUGUUGCUGGCUCUUAGGAGCAUGUGCACGCCCACGCCAUUUUCAACCACCUGUGCAGACUUUGUAGGUUUAUUGGGUACUUGAGGAUUGCCAAUACGGCUGUUCUCGUAUCUACUAAAUCUAUGUUUUUCUAUAUCAUACCCCAAAUGUAUUAGAACGUUGUCAAUUGGCCUCGUGCCAUUAACAAAAUAUAAA
rnacentral:misc_RNA from 1 species